GUGACGAAACAUAACGAAGCGUGCGCCCUUCACGGGUCUCGCUAUCGGAAUGAGCACUUUUCUAAACACCCUGUUGAGAACCUACUGAAGGGCAAGUCUGGUGCCAGCAGCCGCGGUAAUUCCAGCUUCAGUAGCAUAUAUUAAAGUUGCUGCGGUUAAAAGGCUCGUAGUUGAAUGUCUGUUCCGGGUUGCGGCAGGUGGACGUUGGGGUUGUUGUUGGCUCCUUCGCGGUGUUCAGCACACGCUCCCGUCCGUUAACAUCCUCCGCACUCGCGUACAAAAGGGCGUCGACCGAGAGAGGCUCGUCCUCUCUCGCAGACGCCACAGUCACCCUGAGUAAAUCAGAGUGCUCAAAGCAGUCGUAAAGGGUUUAUCCCUGUUAACACACGGAGCGUGGCUUCGCGCCCGCUCUAAGAGGACAGACUUGGUUUUGCAUGGUAUGUCGGAAUACGACGUCGGGCGCUGGCUAAUGGUCGUAGCAGUGGUAUAAGCCAGCCUCGACGUAAUGAUUAAAAGGGCUUGUCGAGGGCAUUGGUAUUGCGAAGCGAGAGGUGAAAUUCUAUGACCUUCGCAAGACCUCCUGAAGCGAAAGCGUCUGCCAAGGAUGUUUUCAUUAAUCAUGAACGAAAGUUAGAGGAUCGAAGGCGAUCAGAUACCGCCCUAGUUCUAACCCUAAACGAUGCCAACCAUCAAUUCGUCGAGCACCCUUCUUGACGGGCUCGACGGGCGGCUCCUAUCUUACGGGAAACCAGAGUCUCUGGGUUCCGGGGGGAGUCUGGUUGCAAAGCUGAAACUUAAAGGAAUUGACGGAAAGGCACCACCAGGCGUGGAGCCUGCGGCUUAAUUUGACUCAACACGGGCAAUCUCACCAGGCCAGGACUCUAGAAUGAUUGACAGAUUGAGAGCUCUUUCUC
rnacentral:rRNA from 1 species